rnacentral:rRNA from 1 species
CGCAAUGGGCGAAAGCCUGACGCAGCAACGCCGCGUGGGGGAUGACGGCCUUCGGGUUGUAAACCCCUUUCAGGAGGGAAGAAAUUGACGGUACCUCCAGAAGAAGCCCCGGCCAACUACGUGCCAGCAGCCGCGGUAAUACGUAGGGGGCAAGCGUUGUCCGGAAUUAUUGGGCGUAAAGAGCUCGUAGGCGGCUCAGCAAGUCGGCUGUGAAAUCCCGAGGCUCAACCUCGGAACUGCAGUCGAUACUGCUGUGGCUAGAGUCUGGUAGAGGAGAAUGGAAUUCCCGGUGUAGCGGUGAAAUGCGCAGAUAUCGGGAGGAACACCAGUAGCGAAGGCGGUUCUCUGGGCCAGUACUGACGCUGAGGAGCGAAAGCGUGGGUAGCAAACAGGAUUAGAUACCCUGGUAGUCCACGCCGUAAACGAUGUCAACUAGUUGUUCGGAGAGGUAACUUUCUGAGUAACGCAGCUAACGCGUGAAGUUGACCGCCUGGGGAGUACGGCCGCAAGGUUA